UCACAUGGAUUAUCUUGACCAAGAUUUUACUAAAUUGAAAUGUAGUGAUGCAUUAACUCCUAUAAUUUGAAGGGAUCAAUCCCAUCUUGACUCAUACACCAACUUAACAAGUACUUGAUUGUAUUGAAAAAUCUUUCAUCACUGAAUUAAAAAUUCAGAUAGUCCAACAUCAAAGCACAAUGAGUUGCUUGCAAAUCACCAUAGUGAUC
rnacentral:lncRNA from 1 species